rnacentral:rRNA from 1 species
AGUGAACGCUGGCGGUAGGCCUAACACAUGCAAGUCGAACGGCAGCACAGUAAGAGCUUGCUCUUACGGGUGGCGAGUGGCGGACGGGUGAGGAAUACAUCGGAAUCUACUUUUUCGUGGGGGAUAACGUAGGGAAACUUACGCUAAUACCGCAUACGACCUACGGGUGAAAGCAGGGGAUCUUCGGACCUUUCGCGAUUGAAUGAGCCGAUGUCGGAUUAGCUAGUUGGCGGGGUAAAGGCCCACCAAGGCGACGAUCCGUAGCUGGUCUGAGAGGAUGAUCAGCCACACUGGAACUGAGACACGGUCCAGACUCCUACGGGAGGCAGCAGUGGGGAAUAUUGGACAAUGGGCGGAAGCAUGAUCCAGCCAUACCGCGUGGGUGAAGAAGGCCUUCGGGUUGUAAAGCCCUUUUGUUGGGAAAGAAAAGCAGCAGGUUAAUACCCCGCUGUUCUGACGGUACCCAAAGAAUAAGCACCGGCUAACUUCGUG